rnacentral:rRNA from 1 species
GACGAACGCUGGCGGCGUGCUUAACACAUGCAAGUCGAGCGGUAAGGCCUCUUUGGGGGUACACGAGCGGCGAACGGGUGAGUAACACGUGGGUGACCUGCCCUCAGCUCUGGGAUAAGCCUGGGAAACUGGGUCUAAUACCGGAUAGGACUUCUCAUCGCAUGGGUGGGGGUGGUAAAGUUUUUCGGUCGUGGGGAGUGGGCCGU